UUUUUUCGCUAGGGGUCUCCGCCCAAACCUUAUCCCCGCCUUGGCGCGUUUGGGGUCUAUUCGGAGUGAGAAACACCCUUGGAACCUGAUCCGGGCUGUACCGGCGUAGGGAAGCGAGGCCGCCGUGCC
rnacentral:ncRNA from 2 species